CCGACGGUGUUACCGCGUCGGGACGAUGGUGUCGACCGAGAAGCCUCCUCGAAGGCGAGCUCGUCGAACUGCUUGCUGCCUCCUGUUCGGAAAUUUUCUCGGACGACCGGAAGAAUUUUCGGAACGCGGCCACAACCUUUUCUUUCGAUCUCGUAGACAUGGCUCGACCUCGCUUUUCUUUCCUAGUGCCCUGCAAUUCGAAUAUUCGAUCGAGAGAGAUUCGACAAUUCGAUUCGUUAAGGAUUAGAAUUCUCGAGCAUGUUGAUCUCCCGCAGCAACAGUCUCGACGAACCGAAACACGAUUCCUCUCUGGAUGGUCAUUGUCGAAUAACUCGCGAAUACGCGGAGACAUAAUCGUUGGAAGAGAAACAGCCGAUAAACGAUACGGCAAGUAUGGAAUUGCUCUCUCACCCUUUUCGCGUGGCGUUGAUCAAGAUUCGCUCCAAGAGAACGGGUACGGCCUCCCGAAGAACAUUUUAACGUCGCUUAUCGCUGAAAACACUGUACUUCAGGGAAUGAAUAAUUGAUGGAAGAGCUGUUGUGUAUAUCGGAUGCGACACUAUACGAGGGUGCUAGAGGCGAAAGACGCGGGGAUAGAAUACGGCGCAGUCUCCACCCUCAUCGAACCGAUCGACCGCGUAGUUCGGAAAGACUUGCUAACUCUGUCGGCCAGUGCCUCGUUAUUUCUCUCUUCUCCUUUUACUUCGACUUUAUGAAAUAUUUUCGUUAAACGCAACAGUAGUCCCUGCUUCGAGCGUUCGACGAACCGUUGGAUUCGUUACACUAUUAUUCGAGUUUGCAGCGACUAUUAUUUAACGUGUAUAUCGCGAUACGAUGGUGAAGUCGUUUCAGAAGUAAUUUCUACUUACCGAUUCGACAAAAAUAAAUAUUUGGCAUAUCGCGAGUUUAUUUGUCGUUUAUUUUCGGAAAAAUAUCAUGCGCAUAGAACAUUAUAUAGAAAUCAAAUUAUCUGAAAAAUACUGUUUCGUACAUUUUCUCAUGCUUUUAAACUCAAUUUUUCUUCUUUUCUCUUUUUCCUUUUUUUUUUUUUCACUUUUAGCGAUAUUUAGACAUCGCGUUGUUACGAUAAAACGAUUUUAUGGAAAGAAACGCACGAUCGGCGAUGGUCCUGUUCGACCGCAACAAUUUUACAAAUUUCAUAUUGAUCCGAUUUGCGUAGCUGUUAUCGAGAGAUGACGAAUUUUCUAACAGAUUGUAACCGAGCAACCGUGCUAGAGUAUCAUCAGGGAAUCGAUACGAAAGCUUGAAAAUUUAUCCGCGCAUAGGUUCUAUAACCGGCUCGAUCGUCGAUCGAGUAAACGUACAGUUUAAUUAUCGAUCCAAUAAUCGUUUAUUCUUCCAUGGCACCGUGAUAUAACAAUUCAAAUAUUUUUUAGAGAAUAGGAAAACUAAAAUAUGUUUUGUUAAAUAUGCGAAGACGAGAAGGCACGAUAAAUACUGAAUCCAUGCCCAUUUUAAUUCUUCCCAUAUACUAGGUUGAUAAUAAAUUAAACGUUCUCUGUACAUUAAUUCUCCACGAACUACUACUUUCUCUUGUUCGGAGAAUCUACUUCGAUGGGUUACGUGUUCGUUACUGAUUUUCGCUGAAACUAAAAGAUCAGAGACGUUACGAUACGAUAUUUUCUUAAAUCUAAAAUGAUAAUAUCGACGAGCUAUACCAACAUUUUUUAUUUGCAUUUUGCAUAAGCAAUUCCUCUAAUGUGUUAUCAGCCAUUUCUAUACUGUAAUUAUGUAAGUUGUAUGAACCUUGACCGGUGAGAAGUCCCUUUUGUUCUAACGUUAAAUCUCCAAAAAAUUCUACUUCUUGUACUUCGUCGUUUAAUACGUGAUUAAAUACAGCGAUCGAUUCUAUCGUUAUGUAAUAUAGUUGCUAUAAAAAAUUCAGGGCACGAAUAUGUUAAUAUUAUAGGCAUAUUUGUACGAUCGUUGGGAUAUCGUCGGCGUUAUCUUUAUAUCGUUAUUACCUUGAGUUUAAAAUCGAAGAAAAGUAGAAGCAUUAAAUUCUUAAUCGGCGUAUCUGUAUAGAACUGAGCCUCGAAUUUUAAAAUGUCUUUUACUCCGUCGCUGUUCGUGUCUACUUCUUGCACCUAAAAUUUCAUAGACUUCGUAUUUGCAAAAUAUAUCGACGAUUUAUACGCGUCGAUAGACAGAAAUCCAAUAAUAAUAAGACCUUUAUCAAUACACAGUCGUCUGUAAUUUUAUUACUUUUAUAUGUUGUGAACACCGAACAAACGAUAGGAUUAACCUUAUAGUCUCUGUAUCCUAAUAACAUAUACUUGUAAUUAAAUAACACAUCAGGUUUCUCUGCA